AAAUUAGACUAGAGGGUCCAAGGACCCUGUGUCGCUCACCUGAUAUUUUUAUUUACAAUUGUUGCAUGAUAAAUGCAACUGUUGUACUGUCGUUUAGUUUCAGAGAUAUAAUACUAAAAAGUGCAUUUGAAACCUAUGUUUAAUUUCAGCCAUGUGGGCAGGCAGGGUCAUCAUACACAGUGGUCCCUGGAUAUCCUAGUGGUGAUUUAAACCAAGUUUGUUUAAAUUCAACAGUUGUUUCAGGGGAGAAUUUUUGUAAAAUUUAUCUAACAAGAAAUGCAAAGUAAUGAGAAAGUUGUGAAGUAGUUUUGUUGUUGCGCAACCC
rnacentral:lncRNA from 1 species